rnacentral:lncRNA from 1 species
GCUAUCUGUUACAAGGUGGGAUGUCACCUAUCUAAGCUACAACCAAACAAGGCAAACUGGUGCCUUCUAAAGAUGACCACCAUUUACCCAGCUUUGGUGCCGCACCCUAGGCCCAACACAAUCUUCACCUGAUCCGUCUCUGCACUUUGUAACUCUCUUCUAGCUUUCAAGGAUGUCUGCCUGGAUAACAGCAGCAAUUUCUUCUCAUUUGAUGCUGUCUUUUGAGGGCAGGUGCUGAGUUGAAUUUAGUGCCUUUUAUUUUCCUGUAGAAGUAAGCACCCUGCCUUCCUUGUCUGGGACAGCUGUUCAAUAACUAGGACUUGAGUUUUUUAAUUUCAGGCUGGGAGAAGUUUGACAAAAAACUGUUGAAUUGUUAAAUAGGAAAUAAGCUGUCUUCUUCACCAAUUCUAAUAUAUUCUCUCUACAUCCUUUUCUUCUCCCAGCAUUUCCUGCCAGCAAGAACUGAGAUUUAAAGAAACUUGUUCCUUCUCUCACCAAAAGUAUUCAUUUUUAGUCACAAAAUCUAACAUAGUGACCAAGUAAAGACUCAGUAAUUGAUUGAGAAAUAACUGACUGCUUCCCGAUAGAAGGCCCAUGUGGGGGAAAAUGGCAGCUGAUACUUCCAGAUUUCACACAUAACAAAGCCAUCUACCUGGAGAUGUCCCCAGAUCACAGAGAACGGAUGCAUUUUAGCCAUCUGGGUUCAGAUGCCCAAUCCUGAACCAGUCAACGUGGCUGUAGAAGCAGAAUUAUGCUGCAUGCAUACGACUGAAUUCCCAGCAACAAGAAGAAUUGAGUGGAAAUAGAUGGAUUCUCCAAAGUGGAAAGUCAAGAACAGCUGGUCAGAAACAGUCAUCACAGAAACAGGAAUCCAGAAAGCCAGGUAGAUAUCAGAGAAUAACAUGGCAUUGUUAAACAUCCAUGCCCAACAUGGCAU